CAACACUCCUGUUUCACGGAGGCUGAACCAUGACAGUGCCCGUAGGAGUCCGAAGUCGAUGAAUGCUGGGUGUGACUCCAAGGACAAGAUGAGGGCCGAGGAGAAGGCUCAUCCCUGAGAGGUGCUGGCUGCCAGGACCGCCCGCCCGAGCUUGAUCCCUGGGACCUAGACGAUGUGAGAAGAGAAGCUGUGGACGUAAUAUUCACCAGCGCCAUCAAAUGCGGAAAGACUGAAGGCUGAGACUGCUAGUGCUGGUCAUUGUUCUCACUGCUGCAGCGGAAUCCAACCAGAAGCAACUCAGAG